rnacentral:tRNA from 1 species
UGCUCAGUGGUCUAGUGGUAUGAUUCUCGCUUUGGGUGCGAGAGGUCCUGAGUUCAAUUCUCAGUUUAGCCC